rnacentral:lncRNA from 1 species
CAGAAUGUUUGGGUCUGUUCUGUUAGCCAGUAAUAAAUUCUAGGUCUUUGCUGGAUGCUCUUAAUUUAUUUGGUCUAUGAGCACCACAGACUUAUUUUGAUGCCUUAUGGAACUUUGUCCUGAACUAGGGUUUUGUGAUUUACAGCUUUCUCUGCAGCUUGGGGAAUACAAAGGAUGCAAAGAAAGUACAUGGAGAAACUCGGUGGUUUUUCUGUGUCCUCUUAUUUCUCUUGUUCAUUCCUCACAGAUGGAAUUUCAGAGUUGAAAAAGUGACUGUGGCAAGUCAGAAGGUCUUAAGGAACAGUAUGGCUCAGAUCAGCUGUUUGCUGGAGGUUGUCAGAGCUACUGGAGGUGCUGGAUGUUUCUGUAAACACCUCAAUCCAAGCACCCCCAUGGUUAGACUUGAGGCCAGCUUGCUGCUGACUCCUGCCUCUGCCAGAAGGGCUCAGACUGGAGAAUACUGAACAUUUCACAGAUGGGGUUAAGCAUGGACAAGUCACUCCUGUGCCCAUCCUUACCAGUCCCUUCAGGAGAUGUGUUUGUCUGGAGCUGCUGGAAAUCAAGCAUUCCCCUGUAUGUAACAUUUCAGAGCCAUUCCAAAGGCUGCUGGAAUGCAAGAGACUUCCAGA